rnacentral:rRNA from 1 species
UACGUAGGGCGCAAGCGUUAUCCGGAAUUAUUGGGCGUAAAGAGCUCGUAGGCGGUUUGUCGCGUCUGCCGUGAAAGUCCGGGGCUCAACUCCGGAUCUGCGGUGGGUACGGGCAGACUAGAGUGAUGUAGGGGAGACUGGAAUUCCUGGUGUAGCGGUGAAAUGCGCAGAUAUCAGGAGGAACACCGAUGGCGAAGGCAGGUCUCUGGGCAUUAACUGACGCUGAGGCACGAAAGCGUGGGGAGCGAACAGG